UUGAACGCUGGCGGCAUGCCUUACACAUGCAAGUCGAACGGCAGCACGGGGGCAACCCUGGUGGCGAGUGGCGAACGGGUGAGUAAUACAUCGGAACGUGUCCUGUAGUGGGGGAUAGCCCGGCGAAAGCCGGAUUAAUACCGCAUACGAUCUACGGAAGAAAGCGGGGGAUCGCAAGACCUCGCGCUAUAGGGGCGGCCGAUGGCAGAUUAGCUAGUUGGUGGGGUAAAGGCCUACCAAGGCGACGAUCUGUAGCUG
rnacentral:rRNA from 32 species